rnacentral:rRNA from 1 species
CCUACGGGAGGCUGCAGUGAGGAAUAUUGGUCAAUGGGCGCGAGCCUGAACCAGCCAAGUAGCGUGAAGGAUGACUGCCCUACGGGUUGUAAACUUCUUUUAUCAAGGAAUAAAGUCAGGCACGUGUGCCUUGUUGUAUGUACUUUAUGAAUAAGGAUCGGCUAACUCCGUGCCAGCAGCCGCGGUAAUACGGAGGAUCCGAGCGUUAUCCGGAUUUAUUGGGUUUAAAGGGAGCGUAGGUGGAUUGGUAAGUCAGUUGUGAAAGGUUGCGGCUCAACCGUAAGAUGGCAGUUGAAACUGGCAGGCUGGAGUACAGUAGAGGUGAGCGGAAUUCGUGGUGUAGCGGUGAAAUGCUUAGAUAUCACGAAGAACUCCGAUUGCGAAGGCAGUUCACUGGACUGCAACUGACACUGAGGCUCGAAAGUGUGGGUAUCAAACAGGAUUAGAUACCCUUGUAGUC